rnacentral:rRNA from 1 species
GAUGAACGCUGGCGGCGUGCCUAAUACAUGCAAGUCGAGCGAACAGACGAGGAGCUUGCUCCUCUGACGUUAGCGGCGGACGGGUGAGUAACACGUGGAUAACCUACCUAUAAGACUGGGAUAACUUCGGGAAACCGGAGCUAAUACCGGAUAAUAUAUUGAACCGCAUGGUUCAAUAGUGAAAGACGGUUUUGCUGUCACUUAUAGAUGGAUCCGCGCCGCAUUAGCUAGUUGGUAAGGUAACGGCUUAACAAGGCAACGAUGCGUAGCCGACCUGAGAGAGUGAUCGGCCACACAGGAACUGAGACACGGUCCGGACUCCUACGGGAGGCAGCAGUAGGGAAUCUUCCGCAAUGGGCGAAAGCUUGACGGAGCAACGCCGCGUGAGUGAUGAAGGUCUUCGGAUCGUAAAACUCUGUUAUUAGGGAAGAACAAAUGUGUAAGUAACUAUGCACGUCUUGACGGUACCUAAUCAGAAAGCCACGGCUAACUACGUG